CAUUAUAUAUAUAUAUAUAUAUAUAUAUAUCACAUCAUAUAUGUGGGUGGAAAUUGGAAAAAAGAGGGUGAAAGAGAAAAAUUGUUAGUUACGGCUUGAGGUGUGGGGGCUGCAAUAAGGAGACGCGUGCCAAACAAGACUGGAUAGCUCAUCUUGUUUUGAGGAUGGAUGAGGGCGUUGCACUUGGUAUUGUCAUCCGUCAAAACGUUUUUUUACUUUGAUUAAAGUUACAUAUUCCCCUUUUUAACUUGUAAAAUGAGUGAAAUAUAUCUCUAAAUUUUCGUUAAAUUUAGAGGUAUUGUAGCACUUUUUUUGUUUCUAAUUAAGAGUCUCAUGCUUCUACAAAAAUUUAAAAA